GCCUGGGUGGCUCAAUCGGUUAAGUGUCCGACUUCGGCUCAGGUCAUGAUCUCAUGGUUCGUGGGUUCAAUCCCCAUAUCAGGCU
rnacentral:tRNA from 1 species